rnacentral:rRNA from 1 species
AACGAACGCUGGCGGCAUGCCUAACACAUGCAAGUCGAACGAGACCUUCGGGUCUGGUGGCGCACGGGUGCGUAACGCGUGGGAACCUGCCCUUAGGUUCGGAAUAACUCCCCGGAAGGGGUGCUAAUACCGGCUAAUAUCUUCGGACCAAAGUUUUAUCGCCUUUGGGUGGGCCCGCGUUGGAUUAGCUGGUUGUUAGGGUAAAGGCCUACAAAGGCAACGAACCAAAACUGGUAUGCGAGGAGGAUCCGCAAAACUGGGACUGAGACACGGCCCAAAUUCUGAGGGAAGGAAGAAUGGGGGAUCAUGGCAAACCGGGCGAAUGCAGAAUCCAGCAAGGCGGCGGAGGGCUUGAAGUCCUUAGGGUGGUAAGUCACUUUAACCCGGGAUGUUAUGGCAUGACCCGGAGAAUAAGGCCCGGCUAAAUUCGUG